CUCCGGCAGUCUCUUGCCAGGGUGUAACGCUGUACCACGCAGAGGACAUCCGUUGUCCCGUACGCGCCACACCCUUCUCCAGAACUCUGUACAUAUAUCUAAAUAUACCUAUUUUUAUACGUUCACCUUUGACAUUCACCUGAAAACCACAGAAACUCACCAAGAGUGACUUUACCUAUUAUAUAAAGUGUUGCCACGGUGACGGUGGUGGUGGGCAUGACACAGAUGCGGGAGCUGGAGUUUGUGCCCGAUGGAGACAUGCAGCUGGACAAAUUGUGUUGGUCAUUGGUCAGACUGGAGUUUACAUGUGUACCUCCUUCACCAUCAUUGGUGGACACUUCACCAUGAGUGAUGCUUGAGCUGUCAUGGUGUUGCUGGUGCUGUCUGCCAUCAUCACCCUGACACAGACCACCCUGCAGACACCUUCAUCCUGGGUGCCACACGUCGCUGCUGCUACAACUCAGAGCAACAAGAGCACAAGCCAGGAAGGGAAAUGAUUACCUUGUUGAUGUGCAGUCUUGCUAUGUGGGCGAUGAACACCUCUGGGACAUGACGAGCAGAUGCCCAUCCAGCACAGCUCAACUUGUAUGGAAUCUGGACCUGGACCAUCACAUGAAUGCCACUGCCUUUGAUAUGUGUUUGAUAUGGCUUCUAUUGCUUUCAAGUGACCAUCUGCCUCUGUGAAAUAUGGAAGAUCUUACAAGGUCAAGCAUAAUAUUAAGCAAGUGAUAGGAAUGGUGAUAUGAGUGUGGUGUGUCUGAAUUAACUGUCAGAGUAUUGUAAAUAUUAUUACUUAGUCUUCCCAGUUAUGAAAUUAAGAACAGUUGUGAAGUUUGCUUUAAAACCCUUCAUUAACUUUGCCACAAAACACUUUUACAUGUUGUCAAAAGUGUGUAACUGUUAUGAAGUGUGUGUAUAUAUCAUUACUACAGAAGAAUCUGGAAUUUCCCCUCAGAUUACUUUAAUGAAUGAAGCUUGAGUUCACAGAUGUGUGGUUCCUUAAUGCAAAUAGUCUUGCCCCAAAAAACUUGUGAUGUCAAACUAACUUUUCUUAACACACCACAACCAAAACCACUCAAAAUUAUACAUUAAUUUUUUUUUAUAGAGCAACAUGUGUGGAAAGUGGUACCAGAAAUAUUUGCAUAACAAAUAUUUGGUUCUGGACCUUAGCACUUAUACAGUACUGCACUAACUUACACACAAGGUUAAUUAAUGAUGUAAUACUCAGGUGAAGCUGGAUUUUCAAAAGACUGAUCAAUAUUUUUUCCCAGAUGUCAUUUUUAUGCAGCUGACUGAAGGAGAAAACAUUGCAAAGGUCACACUAUUCUUAAAUCUUACUAAAAUGUAUGUGCAUCACUUUCUGCUUUCACCCCAAUGGCACACAAACCAAAAUUCAUGGGUAUGGAGAUGGCUGGACUAGUUCCUGUGGCCACCCCUCUUAUAUCUUAAUUUGCCACUGUCUUCCCUGUGUGCUGGUUAAGUUCCUGCAUAUUGCAAUACUUAAUCUACUCACUGCUGAAGUCCCUGGAAACUAGGUAGAAUAAUUUAGAAUGACAUGGUUAAGUUAAUGCCUAUAAAAUCUUAUUUGGAAUAUUCAGGAAGAUUGAAUUAUUCUUCCUCUGUUGAAGCAAAUGAUAUGACAUUGACUAGAAGCUUUCACAAUAUUUGUAAACUUUCUUGUAUCAGCGAUCUUUUGAAAAUGCAACCAUUAAUCUGUAAAUACUUGUAUAGUGUAGCUGGCAUGAAGGUUGCAGUCUUCAUGAUUUACUAGUGGACAAGCAAUAAGUGAUGGUGUUGAGCCACUGUAGUAGUGAUGUUAUGGUAGGAAGUCACUGUCAAGAUCAGGACGUCUGCAAGUUCAAAUGGUCACCUAACAAUUGCAUCUUAGAAAAACACAAACAGGAAGUUUAUGCAAGUUUUUAUCCUUAUAUGAAAUGUUGCUAGUGUUAACAUAUAAAAUUGUAUUGCAUCAAAGCCCCAUACAUUACUGUCUCUAUCCAGUAUGAGACCGGUGUUCAGGAUAACAAGAAGCCGGCAUUGCUCAAGCUGACCACAUUUCAUCCAUUUAUACAUACUUUUUAUUAUUAAAGCUUAUCUAGUAAUUAUUGCUGAAGACAUUGACUCAUUUAUUUAUUUAUUUAUGACUUAGAACUAUGAUAAAGCUAUGGAUUGAUAUAAUUCCUGAUUUGUUUCCAUUCUUGUCUCCGCUUGUCCAUCCCUGAGUGGUCAGAAGCGGUGCUCCACUGAUGAUGUGGAAGCCUGAGACAGCCAAUCAUUUAAUGGGCUAGGUUACCUUUUGUCACCAGUCUUCUGUGUGUCACUACGUUUGGAAAUGUUUACCUGUUCUAUUUAAUUUGUUGGUUAUAAUAAUGUUUAUGGUCAAUAAACUAUUUAUAAAACUAUUUAUCUGUGUCAGUAUGAUAAAAGCAGUUAUUGUUAUUAUUAUUAUUAUUAUUAUUAUUAUUAUUAUUAUUAUUAUUAUUAUUAUUACACAUUUUCCUCCUUGUAUUUAAAUAUUAUUAUUAUUAUUAUUAUUAUUAUUAUUAUUAUUAUUAUUAUUACACAUUUUCCUCCUUGUAUUUAAAUAUUAUUAUUAUUAUUAUUAUUAUUAUUAUUAUUAUUAUUAUUAUUAUUAUGCAUUUUUCUUGUAUAUAAAUAAAAUAUUGUAACUGAU